rnacentral:rRNA from 1 species
AGUGAACGCUGGCGGUAGGCCUAACACAUGCAAGUCGAACGGCAGCACAGUAAGAGCUUGCUCUUACGGGUGGCGAGUGGCGGACGGGUGAGGAAUACAUCGGAAUCUACUUUUUCGUGGGGGAUAACGUAGGGAAACUUACGCUAAUACCGCAUACGACCUACGGGUGAAAGCAGGGGAUCUUCGGACCUUGCGCGAUUGAAUGAGCCGAUGUCGGAUUAGCUAGUUGGCGGGGUAAAGGCCCACCAAGGCGACGAUCCGUAGCUGGUCUGAGAGGAUGAGCAGCCACACUGGAACUGAGACACGGUCCAGACGCAUACGGGAGGCAGCAGUGGGGAAUAUUGGACAAUGGGCGCAAGCCUGAUCCAGCCAUACCGUGUGGGUGAAGAAGGCCUUCGGGUUGUAAAGCCCUUUUGUUGGGAAAGAAAAGCAGCAGGUUAAUACCCCGCUGUUCUGACGGUACCCAAAGAAUAAGCACCGGCUAACUGCGU